CAGUCGCCACGGUAAUACGAAGGGUGCAAGCGUUACUCGGAAUUACUGGGCGUAAAGCGUGUGUAGGUGGUUGUUUAAGUCUGUCGUGAAAGCCCUGGGCUCAACCUGGGAAUUGCGAUGGAUACUGGGCGACUAGAGUGCGGUAGAGGAUAGUGGAAUUUCCGGUGUAGCAGUGAAAUGCGUAGAGAUCGGAAGGAACAUCUGUGGCGAAGGCGACUAUCUGGGCCAACACUGACACUGAGACACGAAAGCGUGGGGAGCAAACAAGAUUAGAUACCCCCGUAGUCCCUGUCUCUUAUAC
rnacentral:rRNA from 1 species